UUUCUAAUCUAACUAUCUAAGAAAUAUUUGAAAUCUGUUUUGAUGUUUACAGAUUGCUCCUACCACACUCGCCUAGAGGUGUUCCCCAUCAGGAGUGUAUUAAGAGAAAGAGUGAUAAAGGGCAAAGCAGAAAUGCUGGUUGACUGGGAGCCCUGUCCAGUAUGUGGUGAGCAGUGGGCCCAUUCCUGGCAGCCAAAGGAUUCACUCCAAAAUAAUGAAAAUAAAUAAAAUGUAUGUUUAGAACUGCAUUUUGGUUUUAGCCUAUUUAUUAAAUUGUUUUUGUGCUGCAUUUGAAGUCAUGUCUCAUCUUUCUGUAGUAGUGAAAAGGGGAACAUCUCCAAGAAUGUGACCUGGAGUUUAAUCUCGAAAGGGAAUGUACUAGAAAUGUACUUAAUCCAACUAAAAUUUCUUCUUCAGAUGUUAUUUAAAAGCAUGUUUUCAUAUUUCAUGAUUAUAAAUUGCACUGUUAUUUUAUUACAGUUGACGUGUUAUUUGAUGUCAUGUUCUGUUUUCUGUGCAUUUUAACCUCACAGUCCACUUUUAAGAAAUAUAACCUUAUGGCUUGUAUGACAUGAAGCUUAAAUAUGAAGUUCAACAAAUAAGACUCAUCUUCUAUAUACUCGCACAUUAUAUCAUAUCUUUUAAUUAAAUUCUCUCUCUCACUCUCUUCAACUCCAAACUCAUCAGCUGACUGGGUGUUUUAUGUCUUAAACCAAAUGUAUUUUCAUCUCAACCCUCUUGAGCCAAUUGUGUCAUACAGUAGGUCCAUCCACUGUGGUCAUCAGGAGAAGAGCUCCACAUUCAUCUAGAUCUCAGCAUUGCUACUCACCCCUUUACCACCACC